UUAUGAAGCUGCAGGCCCAGUUAUUGGAACAACACAAAAUAUUAGAUAACAACAAAGCUAAGGAUCGUAGGCCUAAUACGUAAUGAUUCUAUUUAUUUGCUUUUAUUCAUUCGUGUUUUGUAGCUCAAAUUUUGAGUCUACAAGCUCAGCUAGGGGAAAAGAACAAAUUGGAAUGAAACAGUUUCCAAACAGUGAAGGAGGUUUUUCAAAACUCAUCCCUAACUGAACAUGAGGAUGAAUUGGCAUUAGGCGAACACAGCCAGUUAUUCAGUCCACUACCUGACAGUGUGUUAAAGUUAAAUUCUGUUAGUGCUGCACUAAAAGAAUUGUUAGUAAUAAGCCCAUGCAGUGAAGGAACUGAACAAUUGUGGGACCGUAUUUGGGCCGAAAAUGGGUGUGGUACAGAAACCCAGAAAUGGCACAAGUUCAACAUGAAACAUGGAUUAGAAUUUUAGCAGGGGAUCAAGUCAAGUCUGGAAGUGUUACAGGAUGGAAGAGUCAGCCUACAGUUGAAAAAAACACUGAGAGUGCAUUACCAUUAAGGUAUGAGGUAAAGUAAUAGGGUAUGCACAUUGUCUAAUGAGAAGUACCAUCUUGUGUGAAUGAAUCCUGUAUAACAGCAAUCCUUUAUAGUUCUGUCACAGCUAG